rnacentral:rRNA from 1 species
UUAAGCAAUCUAUACGGUGAAACUGCGAAUGGCUCAUUAAAUCAGUUAUCGUUUAUUUGAUAGUACCUUACUACUUGGAUAACCGUGGUAAUUCUAGAGCUAAUACAUGCUAAAAACCUCGACUUCGGAAGGGGUGUAUUUAUUAGAUAAAAAACCAAUGCCCUCCGGGGCUCCUUUGGUGAUUCAUGAUAACUCGACGAAUCGCAUGGCCUUGCGCCGGCGAUGGUUCAUUCAAAUUUCUGCCCUAUCAACUUUCGAUGGUAGGAUAGUGGCCUACCAUGGUUUCAACGGGUAACGGGGAAUUAGGGUUCUAUUCCGGAGAGGGAGCCUGAGAAACGGCUACCACAUCCAAGGAAGGCAGCAGGCGCGCAAAUUACCCAAUCCCGACACGGGGAGGUAGUGACAAUAAAUACUGAUGCGGAGCUCUUUAGGGUUUCGCAAUUGGAAUGAGUACAAUUUAAAUCCCUUAACGAGGAACAAUUGGAGGGCAAGUCUGGUGCCAGCAGCCGCGGUAAUUCCAGCUCCAAUAGCGUAUAUUAAAGUUGUUGCAGUUAAAAAGCUCGUAGUUGAACCUUGGGCCUGGCUGGCCGGUCCGCCUCACCGCGUGCACUGGUCCGGCCGGGCCUUUCCUUCCGGGGAGCCGCAUGCCCUUCACUGGGUGUGCCGGGGAACCGGGACUUUUACUUUGAAAAAAUUAGAGUGUUCAAAGCAGGCAUAUGCUCGGAUACAUUAGCAUGGAAUAAUGGAAUAGGACGUGUGGUUCUAUUUUGUUGGUUUCUAGGACCGCCGUAAUG